rnacentral:lncRNA from 1 species
CAUUAACUUAUUUACUGGGUACUAUUACUAUCUCUGUUUCUCAGAUGGGGAAGAGAGGCAGAGAAAUGCUAAGGAAUUUGCCCAAGUUCACACAACCAGUACUAGGCAAAUGGUAGGUCCGGGAUUAAGAUCCUGGGGAGGGGAGGUUGGGUAACCUAUAUCCUGCUCAGUGACCCAGAAUGGAAAAGAAUGAAGGAGGAGGAGUGGAAACAGAAGUUAACUUUUUUUUUGUAGAGGUGGGUAUCUGGGUUUGAGGAGAGAGAACAUUAAAAGUAAUGCUGGGAUUACAGGCAUGAGUCAUUCAGGCCGGCCCUGAAUUUUUCAAAGUUGCCACCACCAACACUUUGUUCUUAGUGUGUGGACAGUAGAGCAGGUUGAAGGGCCAAAAAACAAACAAGCAAGCAAGCAAACAAACAAACCAACAAACCAGCCUCAUUUCCUUGUCUCUGGUAUGUUGAGAAAGUGGACCCUAGAGUUCAGUACCACUCCUCCUACCUUUGAGCCCAACUCAUGAUUUAAGAUGUUGAAGUGCCCAAUAAGGACCACAUGGAAGCCUCCCUCAAAGAGUGUGGCACAUGCUGCAACCCAUAGGAAAGGGAUUAGAAUGCAGGUUUUUUUUCCAUUUAGGGAGGAAGGAGCAGGAAAUUUAGUAGGUAAGUAAAAGUAAGUACAAAGGCACAGCUACGAAGAAAAGGUACUUUUUCUGCAACUAGAUAUGCUACCACUAGGUGGAGCCAGACUCUCCUGGCAUGGAACUUUUUUUUUUUUUUUUUUUU